GACGAACGCUGGCGGCGUGCUUAAGACAUGCAAGUCGUACGAGAAAGUCUCUUCGGAGAUGAGUAAAGUGGCGCACGGGUGAGUAACGCGUGGGUAAUCUGCCCUUAGGCUUGGGAUAACCCCGGGAAACCGGAGCUAAUACCGAAUGAGACCACGACGACUUCGGUCGAUGUGGGAAAAGGUGGCCUCUUCUUGAAAGCUAUCGCCAAAGGAUGAGCCCGCGUUUGAUUAGCUAGUUGGUGAGGUAAUGGCUCACCAAGGCGACGAUCAAUAGCUGGUCUGAGAGGAUGAUCAGCCACACUGGAACUGAGAUACGGUCCAGACUCCUACGGGAGGCAGCAGUCAGGAAUAUUGGGCAAUGGGCGAAAGCCUGACCCAGCAACGCCGCGUGAAGGAUGAAGGCCUUCGGGUCGUAAACUUCUGUCGAGAGGGAAGAAUGCGUACGGGUGAAUAAUCCGUGCGUUUGACGGUACCUC
rnacentral:rRNA from 1 species